rnacentral:rRNA from 1 species
UGCAGUCGAGCGGUAGAGAGAAGCUUGCUUCUCUUGAGAGCGGCGGACGGGUGAGUAAUGCCUAGGAAUCUGCCUGGUAGUGGGGGAUAACGUUCGGAAACGGACGCUAAUACCGCAUACGUCCUACGGGAGAAAGCAGGGGACCUUCGGGCCUUGCGCUAUCAGAUGAGCCUAGGUCGGAUUAGCUAGUUGGUGAGGUAAUGGCUCACCAAGGCGACGAUCCGUAACUGGUCUGAGAGGAUGAUCAGUCACACUGGAACUGAGACACGGUCCAGACUCCUACGGGAGGCAGCAGUGGGGAAUAUUGGACAAUGGGCGAAAGCCUGAUCCAGCCAUGCCGCGUGUGUGAAGAAGGUCUUCGGAUUGUAAAGCACUUUAAGUUGGGAGGAAGGGUUGUAGAUUAAUACUCUGCAAUUUUGACGUUACCGACAGAAUAAGCACCGGCUAACUCUGUGCCAGCAGCCGCGGUAAUACAGAGGGUGCAAGCGUUAAUCGGAAUUACUGGGCGUAAAGCGCGCGUAGGUGGUUUGUUAAGUUGGAUGUGAAAUCCCCGGGCUCAACCUGGGAACUGCAUUCAAAACUGACUGACUAGAGUAUGGUAGAGGGUGGUGGAAUUUCCUGUGUAGCGGUGAAAUGCGUAGAUAUAGGAAGGAACACCAGUGGCGANNNGACCACCUGGACUAAUACUGACACUGNNNUGCGAAAGCGUGGGGNGCAAAC